GUUCUUGCCACUGGAACUGAUGUAUGUUACUUCUGGGCCAAGACUGAUGAAGUGCAUGUGAAUUCUCCACACUCUCUUUUCUCCUUCUGUUGGCUGGAUGCAGAGGACUUCAAGCCUAGACACAGAGUUAAACUGAAAAAUCGAAGGCAGAUGUUAAAGAUGAAAACAUGGUGUUGCCCUUCAUAACCGAAAUAGGACCCUCUUCUAUUUCUGAUUACCUUUGAAAUGACAGAAAAAAUAUAUGACUGGAACAAACCUAUCACAGGAAUGACCAUAGGAAGAGAAGAAAUGUCAGAGAAGAAAUGUUGAGGAAUUUCUGGAACAUAUAAGGCAAUCCAUUCAGAACUGAGAUACUCAUGAUACAACACAAGCAAAGGAAGGGACUCCUGGAAAAUUGUAACAUAGGGGGAAUUUUCUAAAAAAGAUGACUUAUCUUUUUUUCUCAGGAUAAAAAUUAAAAGUCACACUGAAUUUGCUUGGUUUAGAAUGUGCUGUUUUGAAAAAAGUGAGUCGGAGAUAAUUUUGUACUGCUUAUCAUAACCUGGUCACAUAAAAUAUUUUGAGUCCUAGUAUUAUUUAAACUUUGCCUCCCUAAGUAAAAUAAAACAGUUGAGCUAAUAAUAUUAAUCAAACUCCUAUUUUUCUGAGUGGGUCUUAGAAGUCAAUGUACCAAUGAAAAACCAGCUUCCAUUAUGACACGUGUGGAGCUUAGAG